rnacentral:rRNA from 1 species
UACGUAGGUGGCGAGCGUUGUCCGGAUUUACUGGGUGUAAGGGGCGCGUAGGCGGGAGUGCAAGUCAGGUGUGAAAUCUAUGGGCUUAUCCCAUAAACUGCUCUUGAAACUGCGUUUCUUGAGUGUCGGAGAGGUAGAUGGAACUCCUAGUGUAGCGGUGAAAUGCGUAGAUAUUAGGAGGAACACCAGUGGCGAAGGCGAUCUACUGGACGAUAACUGACGCUGAGGCGCGAAGGCGUGGGGAGCAAAC